UAAAAUCAAGAAUUAAUAAAUGGGAUGGAUUCAAACUAAAAAAAAACUUCUUCUGGGCAAAAUAAACAAUUGGUGAGGUAAAUAUAGAGCCUACAUCUUGGGAGCAAAUUUUUACCACUUGCACUGAAAAAUCAGCCUCUACCUCAGAGCAAAGCCUGUCCAAGGAAGAGGGCGUAACCCUUGUCCUUGGAAAGACCCACAGAGCACUCCUAGGCACAUACCCACCCUGCUGAGUUGUUUAUAUACAAAUAACAGGAGAGAUCUGCUAUGCCAAGUGUCCCUGACUCAGUCAGGCUAGGUGGAGACCCAUAGUAACCCCCUAGCAGCCAACAAUCAGCAUGAGACUCUGAAAAUACCUGGGAUGCCAGAUGACCCUUCCAGUAGUUUAUGGUGGUUGAUAAUAUCUUGGGAAACCAUGUAAUUCAGCACGUACUCCCCUCAUGGCUUAAAUCAAUCAGUUCAAACGAAUCCCCCUCUUUUACUAUCCAAUCACCCUUACCCAACUUGUUCCUGCCAGUGAAUGUGCUAAUCAUGUUUUAGAGGUUUUUUUAUGAUUUUCCUGCGGUGUGUGAUGAUUUGCUAAGAGAUGCUAUGAUGUAUGUGAAGUCCUUCCUUCUCCAAAGAGUGUAUAAAACUGCUGCAAACCUGGGCUCGGGGCCUUUCAGUGUCACCAUUUGCUGUGUGUGCGCGGAGGACUGAGCUAGCUCGCAAUAAACACC
rnacentral:lncRNA from 1 species